UAUGAAAGCAUCCCAAAUGUAAAGAAUUAUACAUUGAUAAAUGUACAGAAAGAACAUUUCGGUGUUUAAACUGUGGCAUUGAAAGUGCCAAAUGAGAAAAUACAUUUCAGAAAUUCAGUGCAUGCACUUACAUUUAUCAGUGCACCCUCUCUUUCUCUGCUUAGAUUUUAUGGUGUUAUUAUUGAGAUUCAUAUAAUACAGCCUAUUCAAUUGGACAAUUGGAAUAUUGUUAUACACAGUUAAUCAACAGACUCUGUAUAAGUGAUAAGGCCUCAGAGAAGAAGAAUAUUAGAGCUCAACUCCAGCACGAUGAGUCGUUAACACCCUUGGGAAUGUAUAGCUGUUAAACAAAACAAGGAGACCAUAUUGCCCUGUGAAUUCAAAGGGAUCUAAUGGGAAUUUCAGAGUAAAUUUAUUUUAAGGUAUGUAGGAAGCCUAAUCAUUUAAAGUGCUUUUUCUAUUCCGAAGCAACUCAUCCCACCACAUCUUUUCAUUUAGUACUGAUCAGUUUCCUUAAAAGAUUAGAAGGUGAAAUGAUGCACUCCAAAAAGAGUGAUCCUUCUUAAUAUUUUGCAUUUAAAACUCCUUUCACAGCCUCCUACGAAUCUGUAUUAGCUCUCCUGUCACAACUUAAUGUAUAUCUUUUGGCCUCAGAAAAUUUGGGGGUGUUUAGGAUGUUUGUUUUACACUAGUAAAACCUAUCUAAAAACAAGCAAAGUGCUCACCAAAAAUAGAAGGUACCAUCAAAGUGACAAAACAAUCAGGUAAUUGUGGGCAACUUAGAUGCUCAAGUCAGCAGGAGACAGGUUUAUAUCCUCAAACCUCGUAUACUGCUGUUCAAAAUAUUCAUUUAAAAAGUGAUGGUAAAUAAAUCCAACUUUUUAUAACUUUUUGCUGUUUACUCCCUCACGAGUGUGUCAACUUGAAGUCAGUGAUUAAUUUUGGAGUCAAGGUCCAAAUGCAAUUGCACCUGCCUGUAGAAAUAACAGUAAUAUUUCAUAGAAGUCUUUCUCACUUUUCACUGUCAUAUUUAGAAACCCCAAAUAGAACAUUGCAUUAAAACUAAGUGAAACUGCAAAUGACUUUUAUGAAAGAGGAUAACAUUUUUAGCAGUGACUUUUUUGACUUGGGAAGACUGGGAGUUUGAAUACUGUGCUGUGUACACUAGCUCUUUCCAUGACACCAACUCUUGUUAGCUGCCUACAUUUGUCCCAGUAAUAAUAGCAACCACAACUACAACUAACGUUUAUUUGUUGUUGUCAAUGUUGGCAUGGAUAUGGAGAAAAGGUUACACAUAUACAUUGCUGGUGGGAAUGUAAAUUAGUUCAACCUCUAUGGAAAACAGUAUGGAGAUUUCUCAAAGAACUAAAAAUAGAACUACUAUUUGAUGCAGCAAUCCCACUACUGGGUAUCUACCCAAAGGUAAAGAAAUUAUUAUAUCAAAAAGACACCUGAACUUGUAUGUUCAUCACAGCAUUACUUAUAAUAGCAAACAACCUAUGUGUUCAUCAAUGGUUGACUAGAUAAAGAAAAUAGGGUAUGUGUGUAUGUAUGUGUGCGUGUAUAUAUAUAUAUGUACAUACAUACACACAUACCCUAUUUUAUAUGAUAUAAAUAUAUAUAAAAUAGAAUACUAUGCAACCAUAAAAAAGAAUGAAAUCCUGCUCUUUGUAGCAACAUAGAUGGUGCUGGAGGCCAUUAUCCUAACUGAACUAACUCAGAAACAGAAAACCAAAUACCGCAUGUUCUCACUUAUAAAUAGGAGCUAAACAAUGAGUACCUAUGGACAUAAAGAUGGAAAUAAUAAACACUGGGGACUCAAAAAGUGAGGAAGGUUAGGGGUGAGGGUUGAAAAAAUACCUACCUGGUACAAUAUUCGCUAUUUGGGUAAUGGAUACACUAGAAGCCCAAUCCCCACCAAUAUGCAAUAUACUCAUGUAACAAACAAGCACAUGUACCGCCUGCAUCCAAAAUGUAAAAAAAAAAAACAAACAAAAGAAUAAAAUUGACUGUUGUCUCUGUUCAAAUCACUAUUCUAAGUCCUUUCCGUAUAACCCACUGACUUCUCUGAAUAAUCCUACUCAUUAGUUAUUUCCAUUUCUAUUUUGCAGUUGAAGAAACCGAAGCACAAAGAAUAACUUGUCCAAGAUCACAGAGUUUAGGAAGUAAGGAAGCAGGGCUUUGAGCUUUGCAUCAAGUGAUGACCCAUAAAUGCAAAUGGAAUACAACAGGAGUGGGUCCCUAAAGUCCCACCCAGAGAAUGCCCUUCUGCCAAAAAAUUUCGGAUUGAAACAGCAAAAACACCUAAGCAACUGAUAGUCAGGUAUGGUAUUUUUCGAUGUCCAACUAUAGAACUGAAAAGAUCUUUUCUAUGGUUAGUCUACACGAAUUUCUGUUAAAGAAGGAACAAAUGCCAAACGUAGGGCAGGGUACUGUUUGACAGUAAAGAAGGAAAUUUUAGAAUUGCUUUCUGGUGGUAUCACUUAUUGCUUAUUGUUCUCCACCAAAAAGCAACUUUUAAAAAUCAGCAAUGAUUGAAGACUGUGGCUUGCUAAAGAGGACAGAUUUUUCUGGUCUAUUAUUCUGGAGUGGGGGCAGAGUGGAUGUUUGCUUAGCAGGCAGAGAGCUCAGUACUUUACAUGUGGCAUGGCAUGGUAGAUAAGGUUAGGAAUUAUGUCCUUUUUUUGUUUGUUUUUUAAGAUUUGGAACCUAGGCUCAAAAUGUGCUAAAGGUCACAUAGCUGCUAGGUGCUAAAGUGAUGAUUCAAAUCCCUGGUUUAUCUGACUACAACAGCUCUUGCUCCUUCCAUGAUCCUACCAUUGCAAUCCCACCAUAGAAAUCCUAAAUACAAAUAAGGACAGAUAUCAUUGUCCAAAAUGAGUUUCCAUUGUCGGUUUAUCUGUUGAGAUCGACAUUUUGGCUUUGAAAAAGAAAAUUACUGGUUAGUGUUUCACCCUAUUUCAACCUCUCUUUCAGCUUCCACAUGAGAUGAUUCCCUUAAAAUUUUAAUGCUUUCAAACGAACGAAAUCUAGAGAUAUUAGCUACAUUUUCCAAACAAACAAGGGGUAGGAAGGGUGGGAAAAUAACCUAACCUUGUUCUUGAGAUCAGAAAUGCUUAAAAGCAUGUGUUAAAAGCCCGAGGGAGAAAUAUUCAGUAUUUUUCACGAGUUCAGCUCAGGCUCCAUCGCCUAAUCAUUUUCUUAUCGCCAAAUAUUACAUAUUUACACAGGUGGUUCUCUGAUUUAAUUGUUUGAAAGCAGUCACUGGAAGCAAAGCUAUGUGACUCAGCUUUGGUGAUGUACUCCAGCUGGAGUCUGACAGGCUUAUAAAACAAAUUCACACUCUGGUUCCAGAGCUGUAAAGGAAAUGUCAACUACAGUGUAGAAAGGUGAUUUUGGCCUUGGAGCCUGGGAGAGAUCUGAAGAGCCCACACUCAGGUCUUGCCUGAGCUCUGUCAACAACUUUGGUUCUGCUCUGUGCCUCGGCUUCCUCAUCUGUCAAAUAACAGGGAUUAACUGACUAUAUGACCUCCCAGGCCUCUCCCAGCUCCUCCCUUCUCUGAAUCCUGGCCAGUGGUCAUAAGGCUGAAGAUUUGCUAAGAGUCACCCUUGAGGAGCUUGUUAAACUCACUCUCCAAAACGCAGGUAUUGUAAAUGCUGACAUUAAAAAAAAAAAAAAAAAAAAAAAAAGGUACUCCAGGUGAAUCUCAGGCAGGGAGGGAUUCCUCAGACAAAGCUUUGAGAAACUAUGAGAAAAAUGAGUCUCUUCAUUGAAACAGGAAUGAAGCCUGGGAAGGGCCCACUCCUUCAGGCAUUGGCCUGUGAAUCAUCAAAAGGAGACUCAAUCCCGCAAUUAAACCCUUAGAACGUAGAAGCCAAAUAAGAAUAGAUCAUCUCAAGGAAUUGAAAUGGACAGAAUAAAAAUCUCCCCUUAGUGCUGUAGUGCUGUGCCCUGCCCCGUGCCAAGCACUUGAUCCUCAUUACUGCCUGUUAGUCACAGCCUGCUGCAUGGGCAGAUGGGCUGCAUGGUCAGGUUCUGAAGCUAGGGGGCACAACCAGGGAGCAAGGACGCCUUUGGCCUUUGUGGUGAGGCGCAUGCAUCACAAAUGAUGACAGGCUUUGGUUAGCUUUUCUAACAUCCCAUCAUUUGUUCAUUGAUGUUUCCGCCACAUAUAGAACAGGUUUGCCCUUUGCUUUCAUGUUGCUUCCCUAACAUCUUUUCAUUUUAACCGAAACAACUAACAUGUCAAGAUAUUACCAUAAUAUAUGAUUGAAAAUAUGCCACUUUUUGAGAACGUGCUCAAGGGAAUCUCCCACAUUCCCUUUGCCUUCCAGCUAUGCCAUGAAGUAGGUAAUAUCAAAAUCGAAUGCUUCUAAGAAUUCAUCUAUGGAAAUCUUUGCAGGAAAUAAUCCAUCAACCUUUGAGAUAGGCAGGCCUUUAAAACCAGGGUGAUUCCCUGCAUACAAAACCAUAACUAAUGGCAAAUUAGAAUAAGCCUAACAUCCGGUACUCUCGAUCAACAAGAAAAAAAAAAUGGAACCUAAGGAGAAUAAGAUUUCAAAGGCGAAGUGCAGAUUCAGAAUUAACCAAGGAAAUAGGUGUUCUGACAUUAAGAAAUAUUUCUUGUUGUCACCGUCAGAAUAUUUUUGACAUUGAGGAGAUGACACAAGAGCCUAAACAGGAUGAGAAUACUGAGCUUUUAAGCAGCAUUUGCCUUGAUUUUUACUUUAAAUUCACUGGACCCUUCUGCUGCAAAGAUCAAUUUUCCAGAGGGAACUUAUUCACCAAGAUCCAGUACUAAUUACUUUGUCAGUGUAACUCCCAUGGAGAAGAAAGCUCAUAUCUUAGAGGACAGGGCAGCAUAAGUGGGGCAAAAUGGACUUCGGAGGCAGGCAGACCUGGAUUUGAAUGCUCGCUCCACCACUCUCUAGCUGUGUGUCUUUGUCAAGUUGCAAAACUUCCCAAAGCCUAUGCUUCCUCAGCUGUAAUGGGAAUAACAACCAGGAAUUUAAAAAUGUAUUAUAAGAAUGAGAGGCCGGGCACAGUGCUUCAUGCCUGUAAUCCCAGCGCUUUGGGAAGCCGAGGCGGAUGGAUCACUUGAGGCCAGGAGUUAAGACCAGCCUGGCCAACAUGGUGAAACCCCGUCUUUAUUAAAAAUACAAAAAUUAGCCAGGUGUGGUGGCAUGCACCUGUAAUCCCAGCUACUUGGGAGGUUGAGACAUGAGAAUCACUUGAACCUGGGAGGUAGAUGUUGCAGUGAGACGAGAUCACGCCACUGCAUGCCUCUACAACCUCCAACUCAGAGGCCUGUUAGAAAAUGAGCUUCUGAACCUGGAAAACUGUGCACUGUUCUACAGACUCAGCCAAAACAGGCCACGUGUCUCAACAAUCUCCACAGUAGUACAAAGGUUUCCUUACAGUUUAGUAGCAGGCAUUGUUUAAUGCAGGGAUUUUCAACAUUCUAUUGCCAAAAAUUCCAUUAAAUCAUGUUUUUGAAGCUCUUGCAUACAAAAUAGGUGAUAUUUAUUCAACAAAUUAUUGUUUCACUUCUUAUUAAUCUAAGGUAUAAAAAAUUUUCCCAUAGAGGUUUUGAAUGAACACCAUUCAUUCAUCAGUAAAUGUCUAUGCAGUACUAUGUGUGAUAUGCUGGGGACACAAUGCUGACAGAGACCUGAUUCCUGCUCGCAGUUUGUUGGGAAGAUGGACAAGUGAAAGCCAUGACAGUGAGAAAGAGCCGUGACAAGGCAAGUGCAGAGUGUUAAGGGAGUCUAUGGAAGAGGCAUUGCCUGUGACUUGGAGAGUUAGGAAUGACUUUCUGGAGGAAGUACCUCAGUCCCAGGACUUGAAGGAUAAGUGAGAGAGAGCCAAGAAAGACAACACAGGGAGAAAGCUUUGGGCAAAGGGAACGAUGUGUGCAAGUCUUUGGGAUGAGUGAACAAGCUGAAUUCCAUAAAGGAAACAUUUUUGGUAUGGCUGAAGUGUGACCUUCCCAACACAUUUAGUCCUGCGCUGCCUCACGUUGGUCAAGUGGUUGAUUUCAAUUACGCUUUUCGCGAGUAUCUUCCAGAUCACUGCCUCCCUCACAGAUCCUCCAGGAUUUGUAGAAUCCCAGCUGAGAAUAGUCAAGGGCUUUGGUCCAAACAAAUCAAGCUAAUUUCCCAACUCCACCGUUGAGUGUCUACACCGCCUUGGGCAGUGCGCUUAUUUUUGAGUCUCAAUUUCCACAUCUAUGAAUGAAAGAAUAAUAUCUAGCUUGUCGAGUAGUUGGGACCAUUAAAUAUAUUGAUGACUCUCUACCGAGGUACCUAAUGGAUUCCUUGACACACAGUAGGCACUCAAUAAAUCACAACCAUCCCAUUAGCCACCAGUGAGAGCUGAAUUCUGUAAACUUCCAACUGGCAAAUGCUGAUAUGGUUAAUGGCUGCAGUAAAAACCCAGGUGUAUCAAAUUUAGUUUUCGGUUUUUGAAGACAAAAAUCUUCAAUAAUUAUACACUGACAAUUCUCGCUACUUUUGAUUACUAUGACCCAGAUACCGUGGAAAGCAUUUAUAUUAAACUUUUAUUUAACCCUUACAACCAUGCUAUGAGAUCAUUUGUAUUUCUACAAAAGAAAAAGCCUCUUGAUCUUAACUACAUUUUCACAUUUGGAGUUAAACAGUUUCAUUUCCUGCACAAGUUCCCAGGGACUUUAAUCUGAAAAUAUGCAUUAUCAAAUCUAAGAUAGAGGAAAACAGUCUAAAGGGUUUUCCAGAUGUAUUUGACAAUUAAAUCUCAUUUUGAUUGGAUGUAAAUUAAAAUUUCAUUGAGAUGUACUUUGUAAAAUGCUAAAAUAUUAUCAGCACUAUUUUAUACCUGAGAAAACUGGGCCUCAGAGAAGUUAAGCAACUUUCCUAUUGUCAAACAGCUAAUAAGCGGGAGGGAUUAUGAUUUGAAACCAGGUCUUUCUCGCUCCAAAAACAUACACUUGGCCACUGGACAAUUAUUUUAACAGAACUCCAAUUCUUAGAAGAUAUGUAACGUACAAAGCUAUAGGUUGUUACACUACAACCCUAACAAUUCUGGAUAGAACAGUCCGAACAAAAACCAAAAAAACACCUCCGCAUACCAAGUCAGGAGUCUCAGUCUUAAAAGACAGCACCCACUCCCAAUACAGGAAAACAGCCAAAAAAAAAAAAAAAAAAAGCCACUGUGUUUCCAUACGACCAACGUUUUCCUGAUGUCAGGUAACUGAGACCUUCACACUACACUCAGCCCUACACCUACCUUACUGCUUCUCACCGUAGACUAGUCUGCUGGCCCCGCAUCUCAAAACCCCGGCUCCACCUAUAGUGGCCCAUACCUUUCCCUAUUUUAGUGGUGCUUAGUGACAGCUCGCAUCUGGUUUUUCCCUCAGCAAAGGCAACUGCAGCUCACUGCUGAGAAUAUUACUAAAGCAAAUAAUUCAUUUAGCCCAAACCUAAUAAUCCCUCCUCAAAACUCAGAGAAUAUGAAAAAGAAUUGCCCCUUCUAGUUCCCUCGGCAUUAUGGGAACAAGCAAGACUUUCAUUUACUUCAGCAGUCCAUAUGUUUGAAGGUCAAACAACACCUGGGUAUUUCUUUGAAAUGAACUAAUUGAGCCUGGAUGAUUUAGAGUUAGUCUUGCUGAAAGACUCACUGGAUCUCCAAUGGUAACCCAAAACCUGCUUUUGAAAACUCUGGAUUCCUCCAACCCCAGCUUUAUCAAAUGGCAAAGAAUAUUUGAUGCUGUUCAAAGAUUAAGGCCUGGAUCAAACUGAGUAAAAAGAAAGAGAAAGGAUUGCUUUCAAACUACUAUGAAAAAGAGCCUUGGCCCCAGGUGUUCAGAGUGGUAAAGAAAUCAGAGCCAGCCAAAGGGAAAUCAGGCAGAGGGCCUAGAAAGGAAUAGUUUUCAAAUGCUAAGUGUGCAUAGAGAGCAACUGGGAGGCAUCUUGACAAUGCAGGCUUCCCACCUGGUUUUUCCCUUGUAUUCCUCCCCACUUCCUUUUUUUUUUUUUUUUUUUUUUGAGACAGGGUCUCGUUUGGUCACCCAGGCUGGAGUGCGGUGGCACAACCAUAGCUCACUGCAGUUUCAACCUCUUGGGCUCAAACAAUCCUCCCACCUCAGCCUCCCAAAUAGCUGGGACUACAGGUGUGUGCCACCAUGCCCAGCUAAUUUUUGUAAUUUUUUUUUGUGGAGACGAGGUUUCUCCUUUCCCAAGCCUAAACUCCUGAGCUCAAGUAAUCCACUUGCUUUGGCUUCUUAAAGUGCUGGGAUUACAGGCGUCAUAUGGUUUGGCUGUGUCCCCACCCAAAUCUCAUCUUGAAUUGUAGCUCCCAUAAUUCCCAUGUGUUGUAGGAGGGACCUGGUGGGAGAUACUUGAUUCAUGGGGGCAGUUUCCCCCAUAGUGUUCAUGUGGUAGUGAAUAAGUGUGGUAGUGAAUUCAUGUGGUAGUGAAUAAGUCUCAUGAGAUCCAACGAUUUUAUAAGGGGAAUCCCCUUUUGCCUCACUUCUCUCUUGCCUGCCACCAUGUAAGAUAUGCCUUUCACCUUCUCCCAUGAUUGUGAGGCUUCCCCAGCCACGUGUAACUGUGAGUCCAUUAAACCUCUUUUUCUUUAUAAAUUACCCAGUCUCGGAUAUGUCUUUAUCAGCAGCAUGAAAAUGGUCUAAUAAAAGGUGUGAGCCACUGCUCUCAGCACUGUUCCCCUUUUAGCUAGUUUUCAUGGAAACCUCGUUCAUAGGAACACACCAAAUUAACACAUACAGAGACCAGUUUGAUUCAGAUUGGGAGAAACGCAUCGACUUCACCUAAUUGUUUGCAUCACAUGCUGCCAUGAACACCAAUUGGUUAGUUUGGUUUAUGUCAGGUGACUUCUAUCUGAAAGCCAAAGGUGGUCUCAAGGUGGAAAAUCCCCUCUUUGCCUAUUGGUCCUCCAGUUUCACAAACACAUAGGACCUUGUAUUUGUCUGUAUCGUUUUCACUGGCACUGUGGUGAAGUAUUUCCCCAUUGGACUAUUAAUAUCUUAUUCUGCACUUGACUGUGAACUUCAUGUGGAUCCCUGCCCAUCUUGGUCAUAACUGCAUUAAUAACUGAAUAAAUCAUAACUGAAUUAUUAAUAGUCAUAACUGAAUUAAUAAACGAAUGGCAUUAGAAACCAGUGACUGGGCUAACAAGAGCUCUCUGGGGCAAAUACAUUGGGUGAUACAUAAUUUUUUUAAAAAAUGGAGAAAAUGUACAACCAUUUAUUUUCAUCUUAUAAUUUUAAAAUGUACAUAUUUACCAAGAAUUAUACUGUUUGGUUUCAACCACACUCAACCAUUAUGAUUGAGGGAGAGUAUGGAAACUGAAAUAAUAACAAUAGAGUAUAAUAAUAAUAAUGCUCAGAGCUAAGAUUUAUGAAGGACUUGUGUGUCUGGCCCUGUGCUAGGUUUUGCUUAUGUAUUACCUCAUAUAAUUGCCUCAACCAGUCUAUGAGGUAGGUAUCUCCACUUUACAAAAUGAGGGGACUGGGAGCUGCCCAUGAGGAUUCCAAUAUGCCUGUGCUCUCAAACAGUAUGCAGAGACUAUACAGGAAGGUUCAUUCAUUCAUUCAUUCAACAAAUAUCUGAGUAUGUACUAUUACUAUCCUAGAACAAAAUAGUGCAGAUAAUAAACAAAAACACAUACCAUCUCAAUUCUUUUGGUGUUUAUAGUAUAGUAGGGGAGAUAGAUGUUAAUCAAUAACCACACAAAAAUGACAAAUACACAGCUGUUUUAAGUGUUAUAAAGGAGCAAUAUAUAUCAUUAGGAGAAAUUGGUCCUAGGCAGCUUUAUUGAGCUGAGACCUGAGGGAGGAGUAGAUGUUAACCAGAGAAGGAGAAGAAGGAGAAGUGUUCAAGGAAAAAGGAAGAGCUGUGCAAAGGCCCUGUGGUAGGAGGAAAUGUAUGCUUGAUGAGGGAAUAAAAGCAAGCUAUGAGAGUCUGGAACGUGAGAGCAAGAGACUGUAUAUAGCCAGAAAGGUAGGUGGGCCCUAGAGCAGUGGUUUUCAGACUUGAGUAUAUACAUCAGAAUCACUUGGAAGGCUUGUGAAAACACAAUCUGUUGGACCCCUUCCCCAGAGUUUCUGACUCAGCAGAUCUAAAGUGAGACGUAAGAUGUUGAAUUUCAAAACACACUACUGGGUGAUGCUGAUGGAUUCCAAGACUACACUUUGAGAACCACUGCCCUAGACUAGGUAGCACCUGGUGAGCUAUGGGGCCGAUUUCUGACUGUGUCCUAAGAAGAAUGAAAAAUAAUGGGAGGAUUCUAAGCUCGGGAGUGACAUGAUGCAAUUUACAUUUUGAAAAAUGCAGGGUAGAGACAAGAUGGUAGAGAGGCCAGGGUGGAUGCAGGUAGAUCAGCCCAAGGGUAAGCUGCAGUGCUCAGAAAAGACACCACUGUGGCAUGGCCUAAGGUGAUGGCCAAGGAGGUAGACAGAGGUAGGUGGAUUCAAGAGAGAUUUAGUCGGUGAAAUCAGUAGAACUUGGUGAUGAAUAAGGGGGUUAAGGGAGAGAUUAGCUGUUUGGCUUCUGCGUGAGCAAGUAGACAGAACAGUGGUGUUGUUCAGCGAGAGAGACCCUGGAAGAGGACCAGGCCUGGGAGAGAAGAUCAUGAGCUCAGUCCUGGACAUGCUGAACGCAAGGUACCUUCAAGGCAUUCAAAAGAUGGUAAGUAGACAGUUGAUAUAUGGGUCUGGAGUUAAGGGCAAGAUCAAGACUGGAGAUAAAACCAUGAGUCAUCUGAGUAUAUAUGCAACUUGAAACCACAGGGGUGGAUGAGAUCACUGGGUAGAGAAAUUAGAGUAAGAAGAGAGGGCCUAGGACCUCCAACAGCUAAUGGCUGGGUAAAAGAAAAAGAACCUACAAAGGAGGACAAGGAACACUAGGAAAAUAAACAGAGAGAAUUGUGCCCAGAAAUCAGGGAAAGGGAAGAAACAGUAGGCAAUAGUACCAGUGAUGCUCAGAUGACAACUAAGAUGAAGACUAAAGAAUGUCUGUUUAGGAAUGUGGAGGUAACCAUGGUGAGAGGUAAUUUGGUGAAGAAGGAGAGGAGAAGUUGGGAGUUUAGCAAUGUGGAGGUAACCAUGGUGAGAGGUAAUUUGGUGAAGAAGCAGAGGAGAAGUUGGGACUAGGCCACCACUGACAUUGGGGGAAGAGAGUGUUUAAUCUCCAACCUUCACUUAGUAUUAUUUUCAAUAUCCUUCCCUCCCAGUUAUAGCCCAAACACGUUAUUUUCCCUCCCUAUUCACUGCCAAAUGAAUCAGAAGUUCACUCUCCUUUUUUUUUUUUACCUCCCACUUACUCUUCCUGCAACUCUAAUUUGAAUUAUGGCCUACGAAUAUUUUUACUAAAUAUUACAAUUUAUCUAUUUUUUAUUUGUUUCAACACACAGAAGAGUUGCAAAAAUUUACCUGCUCUUAACAAGAAACAUAUCAUCUCUGAUUUGUCACUAAAGGAGAUCUCAAGAAUAUGAGGCUGUAGGUCCUGAUCUUAUUUCUCUCACUGGCCAAUUAACUUUGCAGAAUGGGCAAUCAUGGGACUAUUUACUGACUAGACCAGAGUAAUGUAAAGGCAAUGUAAAGUUAAAGAUCUCACAAGUCCUUUACUUAUGUGAGAAGUCUGCCUAAGUGGGAAAACAAUUUACUUUUCUAGUGCAAAUCACUCUCUGCUCGACAGCAAAUUUAGAAUCUGGAAUUCAGAGCCGGUUAAAUCAGGACACAAACCUUGGAUUUGUAAAUUUCCACUGGUGCAAACUUGGACAAGAUACUCAAUAUCUCUGAGGCUUAUUUUUUAAUUUAUGAUUUAAAAAGCAUAACAAUACAUACCUUAAAAUAUAGUUGUAAAGUAUUAACUGCUCAGCAUACUUUGUGUUAAACAAUUCCAUUAUAACAGAGUCACUCUAGUGGUGCUCAAGCAACCACAAAGGAGAAUAAGAAACAGUCAUACAAGAAAGCAUGUUUUCUAAAUAAUAUCCUUAAAUCCUGAAUAAUUUGUUUGGGCUUUUCUAUAUUAGCCCCUUUAAAACACUUUUAAAUCUAUUACACUUUCAAAUUCAUUCACCAUGAAUUGUGCCCUCUUCAACCAUUAUUGAACUCAUCCAAAAAGGGGUUUGUUGAAGGUGCUUUUCAAAAUUCAAUACUCAUUUCAGGUAAACGUUUAUUUUUUAAAACAAUUUUUAAUUAAGUAAAAUUAAAUACUCCAAAGUUUUUACUAUUUAAUUUCUGUUUAAAUAAAAAUAAGAAAUCAGGUGGUUAUAAAACAAGAGAGAAAUACAUGAAUGGAACUAGUUGAUUUAAUUUAGCGUUGUGCAAAUAAAACAACCAUAUGAAAAAAACAGCAAGGAAAUCAUGGCCUAACACAGUUCCCUAGGGAAAAGAAGCAGAAUAGACAAUGGAAAUGUAUACCAUUCAUUCAUUUUUUCAUUCAUUAAAUCAGUUCUGAAUACUUAGUAAAAGGCCCAGGGCUAGGAUCAAAACCAAAAUAAAUAGCUUUCGUUGUUGAUUUUGAAUUUCCAUCUUGCCAGGUACAGCCUUGACUCAUUGUUGAAAGUAGUUGUAGAGCCAGCAGGUUGGAUGCCAAGGAGAAGAGAAGAGGUGUGCUUUAUGUAUGGGUUCCAUGGAGCUCCACUGGCACAAUCAGUUAGUGCACGGUCCUUACAUGUAUGGAUUCUCUGCAAUUUGCUACAAGAAAAACAAAUAAUUACUGCAUCAAAAUUUCCACAUUGAGUUUACCUGCCUAUGUCCAAGCCAACGGCAAGAGAAAUGCCAUUCAGAAAAAGUUCUCCAUCCAGUAGCAUCAUUGAUCAACUCACCAAAAUAGUAAUAAUACUAAUGAUGACCACGAUGAUGAUUGUGAUGGUGAUGUUAUGAGUCUUUACCUAGUAUUUAAAAGCAAUGCACAUGUAUUUACCUGUGUUAUCUCUUUCUCCCUGGCAAAAACCUCAGGGUAGGAAGACUAUUAUAAUCUCCAUUUUGUAGACAAGGAAACUGAAGAUAGGAUAGGUUAAGGAAUUUGUUCAAGGUCACACCAGUAUAAGUGGAAGGAUAAGACCUAAAAGUAUUUUUUCUAUGGUGUUGCUCCCAUUUUAAAAUUAAAUUGCUUUUGGCUCCAAAAUAAAUAUCCCAAUUUGUAGAUUUUUAAAAUUCUAUAUCCUUAUUUGCUCUACCAAAGGACUCUUUGAUGGUCAUAAUAAUCGCUACAAAUCAGGGUUAAAACUACAUUUCUCCCCCCAGCGUACCCCCUUUUCUGAUCUACUCAGCAAAGCAGCUCAGUUUUCAUCCUAGAAAACUAGCCUUCCCCAACACCUCUCCUGGCAGGGAAGCCCCAUCUGAUAGACCCUUGAGCGCUUUCUGUAAAUUAAUCACUCUGGAUCCUGAAGCUCAGCAAAACUUUCUUAGUCUAACCCAAGAGCAGUAACUAUUUCUCGCACCAAAAGAAUGCUCUCCCUCACUGCCAUAAAGGCCUCUGAGAAUAGCCAAAAGGAAAUGGCAGGACUGCUAUUUACUCUGAGGUCAUCUAUAGCACUGGUGGCCUGUAGACCUGAGCAGAAAGGAUAUUCCUUCAUUGGGGUAAGAUUUUCUAGCCACAGACUUUUUGUUUUUUUGUGACAAUUUUUUUUUCAAGGACAGUAUCAUCUUCUUUAAGGAAGUUUUUGCCUUUCAUGGGUCAUUUCGAAUUUUUGCUGAGACACAGCCUUGGCUAGCUCAGCAUCAGAUCCCUGUACCAUCUGGGGGGUUAUUUUUUAAAUAUAAGAUCUAAUCAUUUUAUGCUAAGGGGCUAUAUUCUUUGUGAAAUUCUAAAGGCCAGUAAAACCACAAAGAUCCUACUUUUCAUUCAGCAUAGGUUGCUGUGUCUUUAAACCAAAGGUAUUCCUAGUUCGAAAUGGAAUAAACUUUUGAGAGCACUUAUUAUAUUCAGCCUCUGUGCUUAAAGGUAAUAUAUAUAAACUAUUGCUUUUAUAAUCCCUACACGAACUCUUGAAUGUGAGAAUUAUUGUGAAUUCCAUUUUACUGAUGAGAGCAUGGUUAAGUAACUUGCUCCAAAUAUUGACAAUUUUUGAAGCUAGUGAUGGGUACACAGAAGAUCACUGAGUUAUUUUCUCUAAUUUUGUUUAUGUUUAAAAUUGUUGAUAAUACGAUGUUGUCAUUGUUGUUGCUUUUAUAGUAACUUUCCAGAAGACCCCUAGUUCAUGAGUAGAGUCUGGGGUUUUAAACCCAAAUCUAUUAGCCUGCAAAGCCCAAGCUCUUAAACAUGACCAUACUGUUGAAUAUUGCCCAGUUGACAGUUUUAGCCAACGUCUACCUGAUGCCAAAACAGCUUCCUAGAAAACCAAAACCCAAACCAAAGUCAGUCUAUUUGAUGUACUCAGCAGCAGGCAACCAUCCUGAAAUGAUUCUUAGAUCAAAAUUCUUGAGUAUAUCGAAUUACAAAAAGCAUUUUCUUGGUGAAAAUACCUAAUUUUCAGAGUAAUCAAAGCUGCAUCCUUACCACCAAUAAGCUUUAUUUAUUUAGCAUACCAUUUGUGGUCUAAACAACCUCCCUUUAAUGGGUAUGUCAGGCCCAAGAACAGCAAAGAUGGCAUCUGGAUGCAAUCUCAACAUAAAAUGAGCAUCACAUUUACUGUUUCCUGGUUAUUUAGCCCUCAGCAUGGAAAUCCAUCUUAAACAAUGACUGGGGGAUCUUUGAGCCUUGGUCUACAUGAUCUUUUUAUUAAACACCUAACCAGCAAUAUGCAGCUCGUGUUUCUGUAACUGAUCACUAUUGCUUUUAUGGCUUUAUUCUCUUGUUUAUUAACGCGACACAUAAAAUAUACUUGUUUUCUAAGUGAAAGCAACACAUUUAUUUUCUCCUGGUAAAAUCUUACAAGACCCUGUGAUACAUCCUGCCAUCCUUGAAUAUUGGGAAAGCAGGCUUAAGAUUUAUCCUGACACCAAAUCUCUCAUCAUAAUUAUGAACAAUUUCUAGCUCCAACUAUUGGAGACUUUACCCCCAUGCCUUGCCACUUCAUUUUAUCUUUGCGGAAACAUGAGAUUUCUCCCUCUUGCCAAAGUUUGGUUUAAGUGGACCUCAGACUUGCCUGAGGGAUAGUUUCUGGAGAAGCAUGGAGUUCUGGGAAGCCUCAGCCAUCUCUCAGGGGAAAAGCGUUGCUUAGUUUGUAAAAAGAAAAAAGAGAAACUUCUCUGCAGAGCUUAAGAACAUAAGCUGAACUGGGGGAAAGGCUGUUGGGGUGUGUUCUUAUCACAAAAAUGGCUUAUUCAGAUAAUACUUCUCAGCAGAGACCCCUAUGGUAUUUAAACAGAAGGAAAGCAUUUUGAUGCACUGAAGACGCUGAUAAAGAAGCCAUACAACAGCCAUUUCCUUGGCCAAAUCCGUUAUUCUAUAAACAUCCACACCAGAUAUAAAUAAUUUAAAUAUUGAAAAAAUAUAAAAAGCCUAUCUACCUACCUCUUGCUAAAAUAAAUUACUAAAACUUGAUGUAUUUGAGCAAACCAGUUAUCGCAGCACUAGGGAGAAAGAUGUAAAGCUGAACAGAAGUUCACCCCACUCCAUGCCCAUCCCAGCCCCCACUACAGUGAAUUUAAGCAAAUAUGACCUUGUAAUUCUCAGAUUUGAUUUCUUAAUCCAGGAGUUUUUAAUGCUUAUCAAGCCCUACAUCUCCUUUCUAUUAUGAAUAUUUCACAACAUAGCCAACAGUUUGAAAAACAUUAACAUGAUGACUUCACUACAAGAUAGAGGAGAAAUAGAGAAAAUUAACUUAAAAUAACAUUUUAAAAUAUAAGUGCUCAGGCAUGAUUACACUAGAAACAUACUGAUCUGUGCAUCCAUUUAUAUAAAAUCAUUGUUGAUUUUUGAAAAGUUAGAAUACACACAGAAUAUUGUUCAUUCCUUCACUUUCCAUUUGACGGUUUGAAAUAAGAACUAAGGACAAUCAUAUAUAUAUGCACAGAAUUACCGUGAGUCUGACAGCUACAAACUUAAACCAGUUCUCAAAGUGAAAUUUCCAUGAGUGGUGCUGUCAUUGUUGAUUGGUGAUAUGAUAUUCUGAAAUGGUGAACAAUGCUUGGUAAAACUCUGAAGGUAGUCAACUACAACCUAUCCUCUGUAGUUGCAGUCCUGGAAAAUAUAAUAAUACUAAAGCAUUGUCUAUAUAUCUAUAUCUAUAUCUAUCAAUCAUGUAGUCUAGGCUAUACAUAAAAUAAAUAUAUGCAGGUUUUCAACCACAUGAAUGUCCAGCAGGACAUCUGAAAGGCAUCCAGGACUCAGGAAAAUUUACUAUUUUCUGUGUCUACUUCACAUAUUGUAGGAUGCCUGCAACUUCCAGACUUGACUCAUUAAAUGACAGUAGUAUCUCCCCAGUUGUGACAACCUAAAUCACUCCCAAAGAUUUCUGAAAAGCCUUCUGAUAGUCAUAUUCCUUCUGAGAACCAAUGUCUGAUAGAAAUAUCAAGCCAACACUCUUCAACGCUUUCCCACAGAAUUUGUGCUGUGGUCCCCACAAGGGAUGCCCUAGUGUCACUUUCUUCCCGGAUACACCCUUUAUCCCUUAUAGAGCUCAUACAGUCCCUCACCUUCAACGUGGCCUGCCUUUAGCCUGCUGGCUGGACCAGAACUCUCCUACUUCUGAAUUCCCAUUACAUUGAUUAUUUCUAGGGUUCAUAUCAACAACUAAUUAUCUGCUAACCCAUGCUGAUAUUUAAAAGCCUUAUGAACAUACCUUAUUCUCCCAAAUCAACAGAAAAGCCCUUCAAAGAAGUCUUUUUAGUAUUUUCUAUCUCCAAAGUGCUAUGCAGGCACUGUGAGACCAAGGUUGAGUUAAUAAAGCUUAAAGUUUGAGGAAAUGGAUUCCAUACUUCUGGGAUGUAUGAAAAUGUAAAUGUGGAGCAAUCCAGACUGCAACUCAAGCUUCCAAGUCAUUUCUCCACCUAGAUGUAAUUCUCACUGUACAAAUUUACACCCACUCUCAUUCAGAUUGUCUAAUGGUGUUGCUCACACCCAUUUUGACCAUAUUUUUAUGACUUUCAGGAAUUAAAUCCAUCUACCUUUUCUAAAGCAGUAUUUCUCAAACUAUACUCUGUGUAUACUACCUGUGCAGAAUCGACUGGAGAUACCUGUUAAAAACAAAACAAAACCAAAACAAUACUGGAUGCUGUCCCCUGGAAUCCAUACUUUCAGAAACACUGCUCCGUCUAAUGUGUAUUCAACCAAUUAAGCUAAUUCCUUCAUCUUAAAAACCAUUCGCUAAUAUUUCCUGAAUGUGACUAGGCCUUUUUCAUUAAAUGGGGAAUCCAGUCAAAAUGAUAAGGCAGCCUCUAAAUCCAACCUUAUAAUCCUGCAGACCACAAACCUCAUGAAAACCAGGCAGGCCACAAGGGGUGGAAUUAUUCUGGUAGCUGACAUUUAGUGAUGCUGCCUAAUUGAUUUCAGGGCUUUGGCAUUUGCCAUUCGCCUGUUAGUUCAUCAAUAUUUUGACUAUGUCACUUAUCAUUUUGCUAGACAAGUUAUAUAUUUUAUUCCCUGAUAUGCUCAAAUACUAUGUGUGUGUGUGUGUGUGUGUGUGUGUGUGUUUAAGUAAAUUUGUGCCAAAAUUCCAUGAGGAGACAAUUGCGCAGGGGAAAAAAGUCAAGAAUGUGAAAUUCCCUGAAUUAUAUUUCUUCUGCUGGAUUUGAAACUCCAGGGGGCAAUGACUAUCUAUCCUCUUUACUCCUAUAUCCUCUUUCCCUUCUCGAGUCUGGCACAUAUUAAAUGAUCUCUAAGAAUGUAGAACUAUUAUUUGAUCCAGCAAUCCCACUGCUGGGCAUCUAUCCAAAGGAAAAAAUUAUUAUAUUCAAAAGAUACUUACAUAUAUUUGUUACAGCACUAAGUGCUGCAAUAUGGAACCAACCUUAUUGUCUAUCAAUGGAUAAUUGGAUAAAGAAAAUGUGGUGUGUGUGUAUAUAUAUACAUAAAUAGGGGGUGGGGAUGGGCAUGUGUGUGUGUGUGUGUGUAUAUAUAUAUAUAUAUAAUCAUUUUGCUAGACAAGUUCUAUAUUUUAUUCCCCGAUGUGCUCAAAUACUGUGUGUGUGUGUAUGUGUGUAUUUUUAAGUAAAUGUGUGCCAAAAUUCCAUGAGGAGACAAUUGCACAGGGGAAAAAGUCAAGAAUGUGAAAUUCCCUGAAUUAUAUUUCUUCUGUUGGAUUUGAAACUCCAGGGGGCAAUGACUAUCUAUGUAUCUAUCUAUCUAUCUAUCUAUCUAUCUAUCUAUCUAUCUAUAUACACACACGCUAUGGAAUACUCUUCAGCUGUAGAAAAGAAUGAAAUCAUGUCUUUGCAGAAUCAUGGAUGGACCUGGAGGUAAUUAUCUAAGUGAAACAAGUCGAACACAGAUAGACAAAUAUCACCUGUUCUUACUUAUAAGUGGAAGCUAAAUAAUGUAUACAUGUAGAUGUAGAAUGUGGAAUGAUAGGCAAUGGAGACUCAGAAGGGUGAGGGAGUGGAUGAUGAAAAAUUAUUUAACGAAUACAAUGUAAGUUAUUCGAGUGAUGGAUACUCUUUAUAAAAGUGUUGAUUUCACCACUAUGCAAUCUAUGCAAGUAACAAAAGUGUACUUAUACCCCAUAAAUUUAUUGAAAUUAAAAAAUAAAAAAUAAAAGGCAAAUGUAAGUAUGGUUUGUUAAAAAAUGUAUGGAAUGAAUGCAUCAUUCAUAUAAAAUAUACGGACUGAACACUCAACAUUAAUGAUGAGUGAUAAUUCAUUCAUUGGAUAAAUAUUUGUAAAUUUCCUACUGUGUAGAUUUAGCUCUGCAA
rnacentral:lncRNA from 1 species